rnacentral:rRNA from 1 species
CAAUGAUGAGUAGCCGGCCUGAGAGGUAAUCGCCACACUGGGACUGGAACACGGCCCAGACUCUACGGAGGCAGCAGUGGGAAUAUUGCGCAAUGGACGAAAGUCUGACGCAGCGACGCCGCGUGAGGGAUGAAGGCUUCGGGUUGUAAACCUCUGUCAGGAGGGAAGAACCGCCAUGGUAGUAACUGCCCAUGGUCUGACGGUACCUCCAAAGGAAGCACCGGCUAACUCCGUGCCAGCAGCCGCGGUAAUACGGAGGGUGCAAGCGUUAAUCGGAAUCACUGGGCGUAAAGCGCGCGUAGGCGGCUUUGUAAGUCAGAGGUGAAAGCCCACGGCUCAACCGUGGAACUGCCUUUGAUACUGCAAGGCUACGAGUUUGUGAGAGGAUAGUGGAAUUCCUGGUGUAGGAGUGAAAUCCGUAGAGAUCAGGAGGAACAUCAGUGGCGAAGGCGACUAUCUGGCACAACACUGACGCUGAGGUGCGAAAGCGUGGGUAUCAAACAGGAUUAGAUACCCUGGUAGUCCACGCUGUAAACGAUGAUUACUAGGUGCUGGGGGCUUGUCUUCGGUGCCGUAGCUAACGCAUUAAGUAAUCCGCCUGGGGAGUACGGUCGCAAGGCUGAAACUCAAAGAAAUUGACGGGG